rnacentral:ribozyme from 1 species
AUCUCACACAGUCGUAACUUUCUUUCUUUCUUUCUUUCUUUUGUUCUUUCUUUCGUUCUUCGGAUUCCUAACCGUUCAGAUC